UACGUGAGAGGCAAGCGUUAUUCGUCAUUAAUGGGUCUAAAGGGUACGUAGGCUGUAUAAAGGAUCUUUUUUUUACACCUAAGAGUGGAAUUGAUAUUAUUAUACUAGAGUUUAAGGGGAGUUACAAAAGCUUUGAGAAGAGAGUGCUAAUACUGAGAAACUUAAGGAAUUACGAAGCGGCGAAGGCAUGUAACUACGGAAAACUGACGCUGAGGUACGAAGGCAAGGGUAGCGAGAGGG
rnacentral:rRNA from 1 species